rnacentral:rRNA from 1 species
AUUGAACGCUGGCGGCAGGCUUAACACAUGCAAGUCGAGCGGAGAGAAGUAGCUUGCUACUGAUCUUAGCGGCGGACGGGUGAGUAAUGCUUAGGAAUCUGCCUAUUAGUGGGGGACAACAUUUCGAAAGGAAUGCUAAUACCGCAUACGUCCUACGGGAGAAAGCAGGGGAUCUUCGGACCUUGCGCUAAUAGAUGAGCCUAAGUCGGAUUAGCUAGUUGGUGGGGUAAAGGCCUACCAAGGCGACGAUCUGUAGCGGGUCUGAGAGGAAGAGCCGCCACACUGGGACUGAGACACGGCCCAGACUCCUACGGGAGGCAGCAGUGGGGAAUAUUGGACAAUGGGCGGAAGCCUGAUCCAGCCAUGCCGCGUGUGUGAAGAAGGCCUUAUGGUUGUAAAGCACUUUAAGCGAGGAGGAGGCUACUUUAGUUAAUACCUAGAGAUAGUGGACGUUACUCGCAGAAUAAGCACCGGCUAACUCUGUGCCAGCCGCCGCAGUAAAAC